rnacentral:tRNA from 1 species
GCCUGGGUGGCUUAGUUGGUUAAGCUUCUGACUUCAGCUCAGGUCACGAUCUUACGGUUUGUGGGUUCAAGCCCUGCAUUGGGCU